rnacentral:lncRNA from 1 species
GUCUUCGUGAAUAUCCACGUCUUCCUGAAAAUCCAAGUCUUCCCAGAAAUCCAUGUCCUUCCAAAAAUCCAUGUCUUCCUGAAAAUCUAUGCCUUCCAUAAAUCUACAUCUUCCUGAAAAUCCACAUCUUCCUGAAAAUCUACAUCUUCCUGAAAAUCCACGCCUUCCACAAAUCUACAUCUUCCUGAAAAUCCACAUCUUCCCAAAAUCCAUGUCUUCGGAAAAAAUCCAUGUCUUCCAAGGAGUACAUGUGUCUUCCUUCACCUCCAAGUCUUCCAGCAUCUCCAGGGCUUCCAGCAUCUGCCUGUCUUCCAACAUCUCCACAUCUUCCAGCAUCUUUAUGUCUUCCAACAACUGCGCAGUGUCUCCAGUGUAUCGGCGUUUUGACAUUCAGGUUUUCUGGUGUCUGCCGUAUCCAGGUAUUGAAAAUUGUUUCAUAGUUUAUUUUUUCCCAGUAUUUCCCUAGUUUUGGGAUCUUUCAAAUCCAGUCUUUUCCAUCUAUGCCUUUUUGGAGUGCAGAUAUUUUAAGACUAACCUGUCAACUAUUUCUGCUUUUAGUAGAAUUAGUUUCAAAAUAUUUAAUAGCACAUUACCUCUUACAGAAAAGGUUUUGUGGGCCAACAGUAGUAGUAUUUGUGAUUGUUUGAUAUUGAGAAAUGUAUAUUCCUUAACUUUUAGGGAUUAUAUUAAGAAAAAAGGAUAAAAUUGAUGCAGUACUUUUAUAAUUUUGUUAAUGAUUAUAUUUUGGUAGUCAGUUAUGCUCAAGCACAAAUG